CAGGUUUACCUGUGUGACUGCGUACCUUUUGUAUAAUGGGUCAGCGACUUAUAUUCUGUAGCAAGGUUAACCGAAUAGGGGAGCCGGAGGGAAACCGAGUCUUAAUUGGGCGUUAAGUUGCAGGGUAUAGACCCGAAACCCGGUGAUCUAGCCAUGGGCAGGUUGAAGGUUGGGUAACACUAACUGGAGGACCGAACCGACUAAUGUUGAAAAAUUAGCGGAUGACCUGUGGCUGGGGGUGAAAGGCCAAUCAAACCGGGAGAUAGCUGGUUCUCCCCGAAAGCUAUUUAGGUAGCGCCUCGUGAAUUCAUCUCCGGGGGUAGAGCACUGUUUCGGCUAGGGGGCCAUCCCGGCUUACCAACCCGAUGCAAACUGCGAAUACCGGAGAAUGUUAUCACGGGAGACACACGGCGGGUGCUAACGUCCGUCGUGAAGAGGGAAACAACCCAGACCGCCAGCUAAGGUCCCAAAGUCAUGGUUAAGUGGGAAACGAUGUGGGAAGGCCCAGACAGCCAGGAUGUUGGCUUAGAAGCAGCCAUCAUUUAAAGAAAGCGUAAUAGC
rnacentral:rRNA from 1 species